CGACCUGCACAGGUGCUGCAUGGCUGUCGUCAGCUCGUGUCGUGAGAUGUGGGUUAAGUCCCGCAACGAGCGCAACCCUUAUCCCCAGUUGCCAUCAGGUAAAGCUGGGAACUCUGGGGAGACUGCCGGUGAUAAACCGGGAGGAAGGCGGGGAUGACGUCAAGUCCUCAUGGCCCUUACAUCCCGGGCUACACACGUGCUACAAUGGCAGGUACAGAGGGCUGCAAGCCGCGAGGUGAGCGAAUCCCAGAAACCUGUCUCAGUCCGGAUUGAAGUCUGCAACUCGACUUCAUGAAGGCGGAAUCGCUAGUAACCGCGAAUCAGCAGGUCGCGGUGAAUACGUUCCCGGGCCUU
rnacentral:rRNA from 1 species